rnacentral:lncRNA from 1 species
UGUUCCCCAGUGAGGGCUUCUGGGGUGCGGGAACACAGAAUCGUGACGGAUUGCCCUAAUUCUUGUCAAGAUCAUUCCAGAUUGGGAGAGGAAGCCACAGUGAACAAACAACUUACAGUGGACGCUCUAUCAACAGGUCACAACUGAGGAAAAGGGGCUGAGGGAACUCAAAAAAUACUGCAACUGGCAACAGAGACCACCAUCAAGGGAUAAAAUUACUUCAGCACCUACACACAAAACGCAGAGCAGCUGGAGAAAGGGGCAUGGGAAAAAAAGGCUGCUCAAGAGCAAACCUGAAGACCCUGUUUAUUAGCCAUUUCUCUCCCUGCAAGUGACUGGCAAUCCAUUUUGACUGAACUUGGGAUUCUGAGAUGCUCCGAAUGCCCUCUCUGGUGUUUUUACAGUUGAGGGGAGAAGAGGGUCUGUUCUCCAGGUAAUCUAACACCUCAAGGCUCUGGAUGAUGCAUUAUGCAUGGUUCAUGCAAGACACUGCAGAAAUCCAAUCAGGAGAUGCACACAAGAAAAAACCUUGGCCCUACAUCAAAACAGUAGCAACAAAUGUGGAGUCCUGAGAACUAGUUGCCCCUGGGCUAUGGAGAAAGGGAGCUAAUAAAAUGACCAUGGUGGCAUCAUCAUCAAUAUAGGAACCCGG